CCCCGAAGUGACUGGGCUUCGGAUAUCCGCCAAUUCUGACCGAUUACGGUGAUUAAUGUCAUCUUCUGCAUCCUCGCGAAGGGGUACGCCAUUAGGGUGGCACCCAUUGCUGACUGGAUCACUCACCCUAAUCAGUCGACUUUUAUCCAGGGCCGAUGUAUCCUUGAUGGAGUCCUGGUGUUCAACAAAGCAUUCCAUGAGGUUCACACCAAACACCUCAAGGCAGUCUUCCUGAAACUGGAUUUCCACAAGGCUUAUGACACGGUCAGUUGGUCCUUCCUUCGGGAAUUUAUGCUCCGGAAGGGCUUCCACGACAGGUGGGUAACCCGGGUGAUGCAAAUGGUCGCCUCGGGCCAGACCGCAGUGGACAUUAAAGGCGAGUUUGGCCCAUACUUCCCCACAUUCUGUGGGGUGCGCCAGGGCGAUCCCUACUCACCGUUCCUCUUCAACAUGGUUGUCGAUGCUCUGGCAGCCAUAUUAGAUAAAUCCAAGGCCACAGGCCAUAUUAAGGGCAUAGUCCUGCAUCUUGCUGGGGGGAACGGGAUCUCCCUUCUCUAA
rnacentral:rRNA from 1 species